rnacentral:tRNA from 1 species
GCUUUCGUGGUGUAGUGGUCAGCACGCUCGACGCGUAAAUGAGGGGUCCGUGGUUCGAUUCCCGGCGAAGGCG